rnacentral:lncRNA from 1 species
CGCGCGCGCGCACACACACACACACACCGUGUAUUAUCCCCCAUGCUUUCUCCUCCCUCUUCACGUGCAAUGCCUCUGAGUGUGCAAUGCUUGUCUGCUCGGGAGCGCAGCGUCCUUCACAGCGGAUUGGUUCCUCUUUCGGAGCAGAGAAGGCUGACAUAUCUUCCUGUGUUCAUUGUGUGAGCUGCUCUUCAACAAAUUAAAAAUCGUCCAGGACCAGGCAGGAUAUAACUGCAAUCUAUGUGCUUUCAAGAACACACAGAGCAACCAAAGGUGUACACCUCUCUUUGCCUUGUAAGAUCAUGAAGAAAGGAGAAAUGCAAUGUAAUAAAAUAGGAAGAUCGCUGCA